rnacentral:rRNA from 1 species
AUUGAACGCUGGCGGCAGGCCUAACACAUGCAAGUCGAACGGUAGCAGGAAACAGCUUGCUGUUUCGCUGACGAGUGGCGGACGGGUGAGUAAUGUCUGGGAAACUGCCUGAUGGAGGGGGAUAACUACUGGAAACGGUAGCUAAUACCGCAUAACGUCGCAAGACCAAAGAGGGGGACCUUCGGGCCUCUUGCCAUCGGAUGUGCCCAGAUGGGAUUAGCUAGUAGGUGGGGUAACGGCUCACCUAGGCGACGAUCCCUAGCUGGUCUGAGAGGAUGACCAGCCACACUGGAACUGAGACACGGUCCAGACUCCUACGGGAGGCAGCAGUGGGGAAUAUUGCACAAUGGGCGCAAGCCUGAUGCAGCCAUGCCGCGUGUAUGAAGAAGGCCUUCGGGUUGUAAAGUACUUUCAGCGGGGAGGAAGGGAGUAAAGUUAAUACCUUUGCUCAUUGACGUUACCCGCAGAAGAAGCACCGGCUAACUCCGUG